rnacentral:lncRNA from 1 species
UUUUUUAAAAGAGAAAUCCUCACUUGUUGCCUUCAUGGGCCUUGAAUCCCUGAGCUCAGGUGAUCAUUCUGUCUCAGUCCCAUGUGCAAUCAAGACUACAGGUAGAAGCCACAGUGCCAGAUCAGGUUGAUGAAUUUCCAUGUCAAAUGUUGUCACUCCUGCCAUAAUCAACACACAGAACUGGACUGGGCCGCACAAACCUUCUCAUGCAGAACUUUUUUAUUCACAUGUGCCCCCCCCAUCUAUGUCCUGGCAUCUUAGAUAUUUUGUUCUUUCACAGAUGAAAUACAAUAUGGAAUUUUAAGUUGGGCUUGGUUCACUUAGCAAAAGGCAUGUGAGAUUUUAAUACAUGAUGUAAUGCAUGUUAGCAACAAUUUAUAGCUGAGAAGCAUUCAAUUUUAUGGAUGCCACAAUGUUUACACAUUUACUCAUUGAAGAAACCAUUUGUGUUGUUUCUAGCUUGAGGCAAUUAUGGGUAAUGCUACUUUUGCAAUCAGGUUUGUGGAUACAUACAAGUUUCAUUUCCAUAGGGUACAUACUUAGGAGUGAGAUAUCCAGAUCAUAUCAGUUAAGAGAACUCCAGGCUCUUGCAGAGGACCCUAAUUUGGUUCUAAGUACCCAUGUUGGUCAGUUCACAGUCACUUGUAACUUCACGUCUAGGGAUCUGAUGCACUGCUUCUGGCCUUCUUAGGCAACUGCCUGUACACACACAUACUCAUAGACACACAGACAUAAAUAAAACUAAAAUAAAGAAGAUACCUGUGAGGCUACACCAGGAAGAACAGGUGCAGGCCAUGCCAAGCAGAAUGGGUCAGAGCCCUACCUACACUCAGAAUCCUCCUAUUCCCUCAGUUUGGAGCACAACGACUCAAGCAACUAACAGCACCCCACCCUUCUAUCCAUUCCCACCUACCACCUGCCCUCCUUUUGUGUGACUGGAAAGACCAACCGUACAGACACUCCUUUCAGUGUCUCAUUGCCCACCCUGCCACUAGCACCCUCCAUGCACACCUUGGGUUGAUAUCUGCUGCUCAGGAGCAGGCCACAAAAGCCAAAACAGGUAAGAGACCCAGUGGCCAUCUGAACACCUCCCACUUGAUUCAUAACAGAAAGAUUCAAGGUGCUGACACCACCAUUAUCAUCCAUUUCUGAUGUUGUACCACUACCCCUAUUUGGGCAGAUAUUCUGAUGCUCAAGUGGAGGCCAUACCAGUCAGAAGAACAGAGAUUUUCUGCUAGACUAAAAGGCUCCACUCACUACCAGAAGUCCAGCCCCCAGCUCUGACUUCCGGUUAGAUAAGAAGUCACACAGGCUGUCAGAAAUACUAACC